UACGUAGGGUGCAAGCGUUAAUCGGAAUUACUGGGCGUAAAGCGUGCGCAGGCGGUUUUGUAAGACAGGUGUGAAAUCCCCGGGCUUAACCUGGGAACUGCACUUGUGACUGCAAGGCUGGAGUACGGCAGAGGGGGAUGGAAUUCCGCGUGUAGCAGUGAAAUGCGUAGAUAUGAGGAACACCGAUGGCGAAGGCAGUCCCCUGGGCCUGUACUGACGCUCAUGCACGAAAGCGUGGGGAGCAAACAGG
rnacentral:rRNA from 1 species